rnacentral:rRNA from 1 species
CCUACGGGUGGCAGCAGUGGGGAAUAUUGCACAAUGGGCGCAAGCCUGAUGCAGCCAUGCCGCGUGUGUGAAGAAGGCCUUCGGGUUGUAAAGCACUUUCAGCGGGGAGGAAGGCGGUAAGGUUAAUAACCUCAUCGAUUGACGUUACCCGCAGAAGAAGCACCGGCUAACUCCGUGCCAGCAGCCGCGGUAAUACGGAGGGUGCAAGCGUUAAUCGGAAUUACUGGGCGUAAAGCGCACGCAGGCGGUCUGUCAAGUCGGAUGUGAAAUCCCCGGGCUCAACCUGGGAACUGCAUUCGAAACUGGCAGGCUAGAGUCUUGUAGAGGGGGGUAGAAUUCCAGGUGUAGCGGUGAAAUGCGUAGAGAUCUGGAGGAAUACCGGUGGCGAAGGCGGCCCCCUGGACAAAGACUGACGCUCAGGUGCGAAAGCGUGGGGAGCAAACAGGAUUAGAUACCCUAGUAGUC